rnacentral:rRNA from 1 species
UACGGGGGGGCAAGCGUUGUUCGGAAUUAUUGGGCGUAAAGGGCUCGUAGGCGGCCAACUAAGUCAGACGUGAAAUCCCUCGGCUUAACCGGGGAACUGCGUCUGAUACUGGAUGGCUUGAGUUUGGGAGAGGGAUGCGGAAUUCCAGGUGUAGCGGUGAAAUGCGUAGAUAUCUGGAGGAACACCGGUGGCGAAGGCGGCGUCCUGGACCAACACUGACACUGAUGAGCGAAAGCCAGGGGAGCAAACGGG